GAUGAACGCUGGCGGCGUGCCUAAUACAUGCAAGUCGAGCGAACGGACGAGAAGCUUGCUUCUCUGAUGUUAGCGGCGGACGGGUGAGUAACACGUGGAUAACCUACCUAUAAGACUGGGAUAACUUCGGGAAACCGGAACUAAUACCGGAUAAUAUUUUGAACCGCAUGGUUCAAAAGUGAAAGACGGUCUUGCUGUCACUUAUAGAUGGAUCCGCGCUGCAUUAGCUAGUUGGUAAGGUAACGGCUUACCAAGGCAACGAUGCAUAGCCGACCUGAGAGGGUGAUCGGCCACACUGGAACUGAGACACGGUCCAGACUCCUACGGGAGGCAGCAGUAGGGAAUCUUCCGCAAUGGGCGAAAGCCUGACGGAGCAACGCCGCGUGAGUGAUGAAGGUCUUCGGAUCGUAAAACUCUGUUAUUAGGGAAGAACAUAUGUGUAAGUAACUGUGCACAUCUUGACGGUACCUAAUCAGAAAGCCACGGCUAACUACGUGCCAGCAGCCGCGGUAAUACGUAGGUGGCAAGCGUUAUCCGGAAUUAUUGGGCGUAAAGCGCGCGUAGGCGGUUUUUUAAGUCUGAUGUGAAAGCCCACGGCUCAACCGUGGAGGGUCAUUGGAAACUGGAAAACUUGAGUGCAGAAGAGGAAAGUGGAAUUCCAUGUGUAGCGGUGAAAUGCGCAGAGAUAUGGAGGAACACCAGUGGCGAAGGCGACUUUCUGGUCUGUAACUGACGCUGAUGUGCGAAAGCGUGGGGAUCAAACAGGAUUAGAUACCCUGGUAGUCCACGCCGUAAACGAUGAGUGCUAAGUGUUAGGGGGUUUCCGCCCCUUAGUGCUGCAGCUAACGCAUUAAGCACUCCGCCUGGGGAGUACGACCGCAAGGUUGAAACUCAAAGGAAUUGACGGGGACCCGCACAAGCGGUGGAGCAUGUGGUUUAAUUCGAAGCAACGCGAAGAACCUUACCAAAUCUUGACAUCCUUUGACAACUCUAGAGAUAGAGCCUUCCCCUUCGGGGGACAAAGUGACAGGUGGUGCAUGGUUGUCGUCAGCUCGUGUCGUGAGAUGUUGGGUUAAGUCCCGCAACGAGCGCAACCCUUAAGCUUAGUUGCCAUCAUUAAGUUGGGCACUCUAAGUUGACUGCCGGUGACAAACCGGAGGAAGGUGGGGAUGACGUCAAAUCAUCAUGCCCCUUAUGAUUUGGGCUACACACGUGCUACAAUGGACAAUACAAAGGGCAGCGAAACCGCGAGGUCAAGCAAAUCCCAUAAAGUUGUUCUCAGUUCGGAUUGUAGUCUGCAACUCGACUACAUGAAGCUGGAAUCGCUAGUAAUCGUAGAUCAGCAUGCUACGGUGAAUACGUUCCCGGGUCU
rnacentral:rRNA from 1 species